GCCGGGGUAGCUCAGCUGGUCAGAGCGCCAGGCUCUUCAUCUGGAGGUCGUGGGUUCAAACCCCACCCCCGGCA
rnacentral:tRNA from 2 species